GAUGAACGCUGGCGGCGUGCUUAGCACAUGCAAGUCGAACGGAAAGGCCCAAGCUUGCUUGGGUACUCGAGUGGCGAACGGGUGAGAAACACGUGGGUGAUCUGCCCUGCACUUCGGGAUAAGCCUGGGAAACUGGGUCUAAUACCGGAUAGGACGAUGGUUUGGAUGCCAUUGUGGAAAGUUUUUUCGGUGUGGGGUGAGCUCGCGGCCUAUCAGCUUGUUGGUGGGGUAUUGGCCUACCAAGGCGUCGACGGGUAGCCGGCCUGAGAGGGUGUACGGCCACAUUGGGACUGAGAGACGGCCCAGACUCCUACGGGAGGCAGCAGUGGGGAAUAUUGCACAAUGGGCGCAAGCCUGAUGCAGCGACGCCGCGUGGGGGAUGACGGCCUUCGGGUUGUAAACUCCUUUCGCUAGGGACGAAGCGUUUUUGUGACGGUACCUGGAGAAGAAGCACCGGCUAACUACGUG
rnacentral:rRNA from 1 species